CGAUGUGGGGACGGAGAAGGUUAGGUCAGCCGGGUGUUGGACGUCCCGGUUUAAGCGUGUAGGCGUGCCCCUUAGGCAAAUCCGGGGGGCUGAGCUGAGGCGUGAUGACGAGGAACCACGGUUCCGAAGUGAUUGAUACCAAGCUUCCAGGAAAAGCCACUAAGCUUCAGUCUAGAGUUGACCGUACCGCAAACCGACACAGGUGGGCAGGAUGAAAAUUCUAAGGCGCUUGAGAGAACUCAGGAGAAGGAACUCGGCAAAUUAACACCGUAACUUCGGGAGAAGGUGUGCCCCGGUAGCGUGUAGAGACUUGCUCUCGAAGCGCGAUGGGGUUGCAGUGAAAUGGUGGCUGCGACUGUUUAAUAAAAACACAGCACUCUGCAAACACGAAAGUGGACGUAUAGGGUGUGACGCCUGCCCGGUGCCGGAAGGUUAAGUGAUGGGGUGCAAGCUCUUGAUCGAAGCCCCGGUAAACGGCGGCCGUAACAAUAACGGUCCUAAGGUAGCGAAAUUCCAUGUCGGGUAAGUUCCGACCUGCACGAAUGGCGUAACGAUGGCCACACUGUCUCCUCCUGGGACUCAGCGAAGUUGAAAUGUUUGUGAAGAUGCAAUCUACCCGCGGCUAGACGGAAAGACCCCAUGAACCUUUACUGUAGCUUUGCAUUGGACUUUGAACCGGUUUGUGUAGGAUAGGUGGGAGACUGUGAAGCCGGGACGCUAGUUUCGGUGGAGUCAACCUUGAAAUACCACCCUGAUUUGUUUGAGGUUCUAACCUUGGUCCGUGAAUCCGGAUCGGGGACCGUGCAUGGUAGGCAGUUUGACUGGGGCGGUCUCCUCCCAAAAGGUAACGGAGGAGUACGAAGGUACGCUUAGGGCGGUCGGACAUCGCCCACAAAGUGCAAUGGCAAAAGCGUGCUUGACUGCGAGACCCACAAGUCGAGCAGGUACGAAAGUAGGUCAUAGUGAUCCGGUGGUUCUGUAUGGAAGGGCCAUCGCUCAACGGAUAAAAGGUACUCUGGGGAUAACAGGCUAAUUCCUCCCAAGAGUUCAUAUCGACGGGGGAGUUUGGCACCUCGAUGUCGGCUCAUCACAUCCUGGGGCUGUAGUCGGUCCCAAGGGUAUGGCUGUUCGCCAUUUAAAGUGGUACGCGAGCUGGGUUUAAAACGUCGUGAGACAGUUUGGUCCCUAUCUGCCGUGGGCGCUGGAAAUUUGAAGGGGGCUGCUCCUAGUACGAGAGGACCGGAGUGGACGAACCUCUGGUGUACCGGUUAUGACGCCAGUCGUAUCGCCGGGUAGCUAAGUUCGGAAGAGAUAAACGCUGAAAGCAUCUAAGCGUGAAACUCGCCUUAAGAUAAGAUUUCCCGGAGUCUUGAACUCCCUGAAGGGUCGUCGAAGACCACGACGUUGAUAGGUCAGGUGUGGAAGCGCAGCAAUGCGUUAAGCUAACUGAUACUAAUUGCCCGUGCGGCUUGAUC
rnacentral:rRNA from 1 species